rnacentral:rRNA from 1 species
CCUACGGGUGGCAGCAGUGAGGAAUAUUGGUCAAUGGACGAGAGUCUGAACCAGCCAAGUAGCGUGAAGGAUGACUGCCCUAUGGGUUGUAAACUUCUUUUAUAAAGGAAUAAAACGAGGCACGUGUGCCUUUUUGCAUGUACUUUAUGAAUAAGGAUCGGCUAACUCCGUGCCAGCAGCCGCGGUAAUACGGAGGAUCCGAGCGUUAUCCGGAUUUAUUGGGUUUAAAGGGAGCGUAGAUGGGUUGUUAAGUCAGUUGUGAAAGUUUGCGGCUCAACCGUAAAAUUGCAAUUGAUACUGGCAGUCUUGAGUACAGUUGAGGUAAGCGGAAUUCGUGGUGUAGCGGUGAAAUGCUUAGAUAUCACGAAGAACCCCGAUUGCGAAGGCAGUUUACUAAACUGUGACUGACAUUGAUGCUCGAAAGCGUGGGUAGCAAACAGGAUUAGAUACCCCUGUAGUC